ACAUGCAAGUCGAACGGUAACAGGGACUUCGGUCCGCUGACGAGUGGCGCACGGGUGAGUAACGCGUGGAUAUCUGCCUAUUAGUGGGGGACAACUACGGGAAACCGUAGCUAAUACCGCAUAAUCUCUACGGAGGAAAGCAGGGGACCUUUCGGGGCCUUGUGCUGAUAGAUGAGUCCGCGUCUGAUUAGCUAGUUGGUGGGGUAAAGGCCUACCAAGGCGAUGAUCAGUAACUGGUUUGAGAGGAUGAUCAGUCACACUGGAACUGAGACACGGUCCAGACUCCUACGGGAGGCAGCAGUGGGGAAUAUUGCACAAUGGGGGAAACCCUGAUGCAGCGACGCCGCGUGCGGGAAGAAGGCCUUCGGGUUGUAAACCGCUUUCAAUUGGGAAGAAGAGAUGAGUACUAAUAUUGCUCUGAUUUGACGGUACCUUUAGAAGAAGCACCGGCUAAUUUCGUGCCAGCAGCCGCGGUAAUACGAAAGGUGCAAGCGUUGUUCGGAUUUACUGGGCGUAAAGAGAUCGUAGGUGGUUUAUUAAGUCGGAUGUGAAAUCCCGGGGCUCAACCCCGGAACUGCAUUCGAUACUGGUAGACUAGAGUUUGGGAGGGGUAAGCGGAAUUCCGUGUGUAGCAGUGAAAUGCGUAGAUAUACGGAGGAACACCUGAGGCGAAGGCGGCUUACUGGACCAAUACUGACACUGAGGAUCGAAAGCGUGGGUAGCAAACAGGAUUAGAUACCCUGGUAGUCCACGCCCUAAACGAUGUCAACUAGCCGUUGCGGGUAUCGACCCCUGCAGUGGCGAAGCUAACGCGAUAAGUUGACCGCCUGGGGAGUACGGUCG
rnacentral:rRNA from 1 species